AUGAGAAAUAAAAUAAGAAUAAUAAAAAAUAAAAAUAAAAAAUAUAUUUUUUCUACAGAAAAGACCAAAAAGUAUAGAAGAAAAAAGAAGAAAAUGAAAUUGCACUGUUAAAAUAAGGUUACACUGUUUUAAAAAAUUUUUACACUGUUUUAGAAGAAAGUUGCACUCUUUAGAGAUAAAUUAUACUAUUGGGAUGAGACUUACACUUUUUAGGCGAAAGUUGUACUAUUUGGAUAAAAUUUACAUCAUUUUUUAUUCUCUUCUUUUUCCUCCUUCUUUCCCUUCGUUUUCUCAUCCUCGUCCUCCUUCUUCCUCCUCCACCUUCUCCACUGCCGUCGCCGUCAAGCGCCCCUCGUGCCGCCGCCCCCCUUCGCCGCCGGCGCCUGCG
rnacentral:lncRNA from 1 species